CAGUCGCCGCGGUAAUACGAAGGGGGCUAGCGUUGUUCGGAAUCACUGGGCGUAAAGCGCACGUAGGCGGAUUUUUAAGUCAGGGGUGAAAUCCCGAGGCUCAACCUCGGAACUGCCUUUGAUACUGGAGAUCUUGAGUUCGGAAGAGGUUGGUGGAACAGCUAGUGUAGAGGUGAAAUUCGUAGAUAUUAGCUAGAACACCAGUGGCGAAGGCGGCCAACUGGUCCGACACUGACGCUGAGGUGCGAAAGCGUGGGGAGCAAACAGGAUUAGAUACCCCUGUAGUCCCUGUCUCUUAUAC
rnacentral:rRNA from 1 species